rnacentral:rRNA from 1 species
GACGAACGCUGGCGGCGUGCUUAACACAUGCAAGUCGAACGGUAAGGCCCUUCGGGGUACACGAGUGGCAAACGGGUGAGUAACACGUGGGUGAUCUGCCCUGCACUUCGGGAUAGGCCUGGGAAACUGGGUCUAAUACCGGAUAGGACCACUGCCUGCAUGGGUGGUGGUGGAAAGCUUUUGCGGUGUGGGAUGGGCCCGCGGCUUAUCAGCUUGUUGGUGGGGUGAUGGCCUACCAAGGCGACGACGGGUAGCCGGCCUGAGAGGGUGACCGGCCACACUGGGACUGAGAUACGGCCCAGACGCCUACGGGAGGCAGCAGUGGGGAAUAUUGCACAAUGGGCGCAAGCCUGAUGCAGCGACGCCGCGUGAGGGAUGACGGCCUUCGGGUUGUAAACCUCUUUCAGCACCGACGAAGCGCAAGUGACGGUAGGUGCAGAAGAAGGACCGGCCAACUACGUGCCAGCCGCCGCCGUAA